rnacentral:rRNA from 1 species
UGGGGAAUUGUUCGCAAUGGGCGCAAGCCUGACGACGCAACGCCGCGUGGAGGAUGAAGGUCUUCGGAUCGUAAACUUCUGUUGCCCGGGACGAAUAGCUUAGACCUAAUACGUCUGAGUAUGACGGUACCGGGUGAGGAAGCCCCGGCUAACUCUGUGCCAGCAGCCGCGGUAAUACAGAGGGGGCAAGCGUUGUUCGGAAUUACUGGGCGUAAAGGGCGCGUAGGCGGCCUGCUAAGUCGAACGUGAAAUCCCCGGGCUCAACCCGGGGAACGACGCAUGAAACUGGCAAGCUAGAGUACCAAAGAGGGUGGUGGAAUUCCCGGUGUAGCGGUGAAAUGCGCAGAUAUCAGGAGGAACACCGGUGGCGAAGGCGGGUCUCUGGGCAGUAACUGACGCUGAGGACGAAAGCGUGGUAGCGAACAGGAUUAGAUACCCCAGUAGUCCCUGAGCGGGCUGGCAAGGCGCAU